AUAAUGACUUCAAUUCCUUCAAGUUUUCAUCCACUCCUGAAGAGCCAAAAAACAUUGGCUGCCAAAAAAUGAAGGUAUGUAUUACAUAUAUUAAUAUAUGCAGUACCAGUUUUUAAAAAACUGUAUUUCAGUCCUCAAAGAUGCAUCUCCAAGACAGACCGUACAAGUGCCCACGAGAUGAAUGUGACAAGAAGUUCUCAAGAAGUGACGAACUGACGAGACAUAUUAGGAUUCAUACAGGCCAAAAGCCAUUUCAGGUACUGACAGCGACUAGUAAUCAAAAAUUCAAAAGCUGAAAAACGAUCUUGGUACAAAAGUAGAAAUUAUUUUGUGUAUGUGUGAGACUAUGGAAAUCCAAAUAUCUUUUUUUGUUUCAAAAUUUUAGGCAAAUAAGUUUCAGGAAAUGACGUUCAGAAUAGCUCUGAUGAGUGAUUUAAAUACAUUAUUUGAGAAAUCUGAAAAUCUAUUUAAAUAAAUAGUAGUGGAUGUGGGAAAACAAAUGGAAUAUGUAGUACCUAUUUAGAUAAAUACUACUAAAAGUACAGGAAAUUUUCAUAAAUUGGGAGAAAAAACUUCAAGACUUCGAAAAUUUUCUUAUAAGUCAUGUUUGUUGAGUUCAAGCUGCUUUAUGUAAAAACCGUGCUGUAAAACGGUGUAAUUUAAACACGAAAAUGUCAUGUCCAAUUCAAAUAAAAUUAUAUCAUAAAACGAUAAGUAUAUCGAAAUUUUUGGAAAAGUCACAACUCAGGCAACUCAAAUCUAAUAUAAAAAUAUUAAAUAGCAAUAUUUUUGUAGUAAAAACGAGAAAUAGUGCGUCCAUAUACGAUUACUAAAAAUUUCGAAUAGAUUUCAAUUUUGUCUCAAAAGAUUACAAUUUCAUCUCAAAAUAUUGCGAAAGUGUGAAAUUUCUAGGAAGACUUCGGUUUUAUCUCAAAAGAUUACUAAUUUGUCACAAAAGACUGCGAACUCGUCUCCGAAGAUUGAGAUUUCAUCUGCAAAGAUUGAGAUUUCGUCUCAGAAUAUUGCGAUUUUGUCUCAAAAUAUUGCGAAUUUGUUUCUAAAUAUUAAAAAUGCAUUCAACGACUAUUCUAGAACUGUUUUGUGAUAACUCGAAGAACUUUUGUUGCCAUUGAGGGGAGUUGAACUUGUCCGUCGCUUGUCGUUGAGUCUAUGAACCAUUAUCUUACCUGUUGAGCCAUUCUGUACGUGUCGCAUCUAGAUUUAGUUAUUGCUUAAGUAAAUAGUUGAUGGGCGCACGUCCUUUUCGUUACUUUUGAUGGGAAAUCAGUGACUUUUCGCAAAUUUUCUAAGUGUCAGAGCGAAAUUGGAUAACUUUCUUUGAAAGCGAAUGUGGAAAAACGAUUUAUUUGUUAUGCUUUUAAAAAUGUUAGAAUUGCAAUUUUUCCGAAUUUUUGUCAAAGAGAGAAUAAAAUUUUAUUUUUUCAAUAUUUUUUUUCACUAACAAUUUGAUUAAAAUGAUGAGUAUACUGGGAACAUGCUUGCUGUUGACAAUAUUUUAUGAUUUCAAUUGAAAUCAGAAAAUCUCAAACGCAUCACGCGUGAAUGAAUAGUUGUCAGUCUACUUUAAUGUAUUCGACCAAUCUCCGUGAUUGUUUGACUGAAUUUAUAAUAUGACCGGCCAAUUAUCUAGAAAAAAUUACAUGAGUGGACAGAUUUGUGAAUUCUGUGGCUUUCUCUGCAAAAACUCCUUCUACAAUAUGCAACGAAAAAUCAAAUAUCCGUUAACAGUUAGAUACUCCUUUUUUAUAGAUUUUCAUGUAGCUGUUUUUUACUUUGAAAAGUCUUUUAUCAUUUGAAAGAAAAGAGAAUUUAGAACGGAACAGUAAUCAUAAUUGCAAUAUGUUGUAUAUAUAUCACGAUCAUGUGAAGCCGAUGGAAAUUUGGAAAUGGUGUUUUGUAAUCUUUAUGGACUGCAAAAAGAUUGCAAAUUAAUCUUAGAAUAUUACACAUUUGUUUGUAAUAUUUUUAGAUUUCAGAAAGAUUGCGAACCAAUCUCAAAAGAUUGCUAUGUCAUCUCAAAAUAUUACGAAUUUUUCGUAAUAUUUUCAGAUUCAGAAAUAAUGCGAAUCAACCUCAAAAUAUUGCGAAAUAUUCUCAAAAGAUUGCUCAAUCUAAAAAGAUUUUGAAUAAGUCUCGGAAUAUUGCGAUUUUAUCUUGAAAUAUCACCCAACUACAAAAAUAUUGCUAUUUAAUAUUUUCAUAUUAGAUUUGAGUUGCCUGAGAAAACAAAAAAAACUUUCUUUCCAUUUUUUUCAAUUCGAUUUUUUGGAGUAUUGGCCUAUUUCAUUGAUAUAAGCUCAACAGGAGCUUCAAUUUAAGUAUAAUCAUGACCUACUUUGCUUAAACUCCACAAAAGUUGGGUCCCGCCACGAAAACUACAGUAACCCGGGAGUUUUCGUGGUGGGACGCGGCAUAGAGCCAAGUAGGUCAUGAUUAUCUUUAUUUUAAAGAUCUUGGUGAACUGUAAAUGAUAAUAAUAUCAAAAACAAAAUUAAUCCGAAUAUGUUCAAAAUUUUGGAAAUUUCAAAAAAAAAGUUUUUUUCAAAAUUAAUUUUUUUGGAAAAUUUUUCUCUCAAAGCUGAACUCAUUAAUAACAUAAAUAAAUUUUUCAGUGCCGAAUUUGUAUGCGUCGUUUCUCCCGAUCGGACCAUUUGACGACCCACGUGCGCACUCACACUGGCGAAAAACCAUACUCCUGCGACAUUUGCGGCAAAAAAUUUGCGCGAUGUGAUGAACGAACGCGGCACACAAAAAUUCACAAGAAAUCGG
rnacentral:sRNA from 1 species